GGUGAAUUUUCCGCAAUGGGCGAAAGCCUGACGGAGCAAUACCGCGUGAGGGAGGAAGGCUCUUGGGUCGUAAACCUCUUUUCUCAGGGAAGAACACAAUGACGGUACCUGAGGAAUAAGCAUCGGCUAACUCCGUGCCAGCAGCCGCGGUAAUACGGAGGAUGCAAGCGUUAUCCGGAAUGAUUGGGCGUAAAGCGUCCGCAGGUGGCGAUGUAAGUCUGCUGUUAAAGAGUCUAGCUCAACUAGAUAAGAGCAGUGGAAACUACAUAGCUAGAGUACGUUCGGGGCAGAGGGAAUUCCUGGUGUAGCGGUGAAAUGCGUAGAGAUCAGGAAGAACACCAGUGGCGAAGGCGCUCUGCUAGGCCGUAACUGACACUGAGGGACGAAAGCUAGGGGAGCGAAUGGGAUUAGAUACCCCAGUAGUCCUAGCCGUAAACGAUGGAUACUAGGCGUGGCUUGUAUCGACCCGAGCCGUGCCGUAGCUAACGCGUUAAGUAUCC
rnacentral:rRNA from 1 species